GGGCCCGUCUGCUAAUGGAUUAAGCGGCGAGACUUCGGAUCUCGAGAUGGGGGUUCGAUUCCCUCCGGGCCCG
rnacentral:tRNA from 1 species